rnacentral:rRNA from 1 species
CCUACGGGAGGCAGCAGUGAGGAAUAUUGGUCAAUGGGCGUAAGCCUGAACCAGCCAAGUCGCGUGAGGGAUGAAGGUUCUAUGGAUCGUAAACCUCUUUUAUAAGGGAAUAAAGUGCGGGACGUGUCCCGUAUUGUAUGUACCUUAUGAAUAAGGAUCGGCUAACUCCGUGCCAGCAGCCGCGGUAAUUCGGAGGAUCCGAGCGUUAUCCGGAUUUAUUGGGUUUAAAGGGUGCGUAGGCGGCCUUUUAAGUCAGGGGUUAAAGUCUGUGGCUCAACCAGAGAAUUGCCGUUGAAACUGGGAGGCUUGAGUAUGUUUGAGGCAGGCGGAAUGCGUGGUGUAGCGGUGAAAUGCGUAGAUAUCACGCAGAACCCCGAUUGCGAAGGCAGCCUGCCAGGCCAUGACUGACGCUGAUGCACGAAAGCGUGGGGAUCAAACAGGAUUAGAUACCCUUGUAGUC